GAAAUCUGUUGGAGUGUUCUGUUGUGGACCCAAAGGACUGUCCAAGGAUCUUCACAAACUAUGCAACAAUCCUAAUUCUUACGGGACAACGUUUGAGUAUAAUAAAGAAUCUUUCUCUUAACUUGAUUAAACACAAGUCACAGAUGAUCCAAAGCACAGACACACUAUAGAUGGAAUUCAACUUAAUUGAAUAGUUCCAUAUCAAUACUCAUCCCUAUGACUGUUCUUUUCUGGUACACUACAAGAGAAAGUUGGGUAGACAAAUGUUUAUAAAUAGCAAGCAUGCCUUCAGUCCAAAGAUUACCAAACUCCAAUAGACGAUAAAGGAAAUGACUGGGCACUGGUCUAAAGUGUGGGCAGAUUUAUUGGAUGAAGAACACUAUUGUUCCAGCUAUUAACAGAGCCUUGAUAAAUGGUAUGUUAGGAUCCUAAACGUUGCUGCCCUUCAUUCAAUAAAUCUGCCCACCCUUUGCACCUGUGCUUGGUCGUUUCCUUUAUCGUCUUUUCUAAAACACUGACUAAGCAUACAUAAAUUAAAUUAUACCUGUUGGCAGAUAAAGGAUGCUUGGUUAGCAUUUUACCACCUAUUUGGGGACCAUUGAACAAUAUGAUUACAGAUAGGUAGUUGUAAAAAAAUACAAAAUAUAUGAAAUAAAACUAUAGACGUGUGUCAUUAAUUUAUUUAAAACAAAUAUCCAUUUUCAUUUAUUUGAGUUGAUGCAUUUCGAAAGAUCAAUGUAGAAAUUCCGAUAGAACCUCAAAAACAAAUGCUUCACACCAGUCUCAGUAAAAAGUGAAAAUUAUACAGUAAUAUUUUUAAAUGCAAUAUACAAGGGAAAAUCGAACAAUCAAAGUUAUACAAAAAGGAAUAAAUCAGGUGGAGACAGCUGUAUGAUUCUGUCUAGCUAGUGAGCAAGAAUAAAAACAAACGUGAGAUCAUGAAGUUAAUCUUGUUAUUGAUCUACUUCAGUGAUGGCUUUUACAAGUCUAUCAUCUUCCAAAUGUCCAUAUUCCUAUUGAUAUAGAUCAGGGUGGCUUUCAUAAAAAUGUCUUAAGUUCAACGUGGUCCUAUUUCUAUUGAUCUAAAUCAAUAACGUCAAUUGAGAGUGCAUCAAGUUCAACUUGACCAUAUUUCGACUAUUCUAAAUUAGUAAUAACAAGCGUAACUCCAUGAAGUUCAACUUGACCUGUGUCAGCAAUUGCUAAACCUUUCUAAUAACAUUACUGCAACAGGAAGGUAUUUGUAAAUGUUUACAAACAUGAUUUUACAUACUGAAGCAAGCUAGAUAAGUGCAGCUGGAUCUUAACGUAAAUAGGAAAUGCUAAAUGAAGACAAUUGUGUCUCUAACCAAAGAACCAAAAAUCACCUACAGUAAAGUAGGUAAAGCCUUCAGGUUUUAUAUGUAAACUAGGAAAUUGCACACAUCAUGGACAUUUAGUGUUCAAAAAUGAGGACUAGAUUCUGGAGCACUGUAGUUUAGUACGUAAGAAGUAGACGUCGUGCCUUUGUCAAUGAUAUUUAUAAUGUAUGGAUUUGUAAUGUUUUUCUUGACAAAAAUAUGAAUUACUUUGUUUAAAUACCCUAGUUUGGGUUAAAUAAACAGUGAUCGUAUUUGUUUUGUUCUUUACCUAAUUAGUCUUAAUUAUCUAAAACACAUUUACACAUCUUCCACCCAUUUACACUAGGUGUAUAAACCAGUAAAGCUGGGAAAAUUAUUUACGCUCCUAUCUCAAAAUUACUACCUGUGGUAUUCAUUGAGCUUGCAGUUGGAAAAACCAGAGUAACUUGCAAUGUCUUGCAAAAGAAACAUUUUACAAACUGCAAAAUACCGG